CCGGUCCCGGUUCACGGGCGGCAACCCGCCUCCCGACCCGGCGCC
ncrna:Streptomyces sulphureus DSM 40104 L31-Actinobacteria ribosomal protein leader